rnacentral:lncRNA from 1 species
AGGGGUAAGAUCUACAAAAAAAAAUUUCAAUCGAAGGUGGCUUCGAUAGAGACCUUUCGAUGCUCAAGUCAGUAUUUCAUUCAACAGAAAGAGGAGCAUGAAAGGCAAAGUGAUGGCUUAUCUUAGGGUCCCCUUUUUCGCAUCUUCUUAUAAAUGAAGUCUGGAGGUUAUUAGAUCUGAGCCUGUAGGCUGUCAGGGUAGGCUGCUUGCUGUCCGUCCACUAAUCAGAUUGUUAGUCGUGGG